rnacentral:rRNA from 1 species
GCACCGAAGCCUAUCUGCGUUUGUGGACAAGGCAAUGUGGUGUUUAGGCGUGUCCCUGGAGCCAUUCGUCUACUCGAAGUCCAACUCCGAUUAUGGCUUUGGAUCUGUCCCAUAGAGGGUGAAAGGCCCGUACGAGUAGACAUGAAGCAUAAAGAAUGGUUCUCAGAUGGGUGCGUCUUGGAGUCGGAUUGCUUGAGAAUGCAGUCCAAAGCGGGUGGUAAACUCCAUCCAAGGCUAAAUACUGGCACGAGUCCGAUAGUAAACAAGUACCGUGAGGGAAAGUUGAAAAGUACUCUGAAGAGAGAGUAAAUAGUACGUGAAGCCGCCUGUAGAGAAGCUGGUGGAGUCAAGCUCCAUGCUCGAAUGAUUAACAAGGAGAGGCAUUGUUGUCUUUGGCCCUGCAGUCUUUUAACCUGCAAAUGGUUAGACGGAGUUAAAUCCGUUCCAAGCAUUUCGGUUAAGGUGUUUGUUUUGGCUGUGCGGGGUUGGCCUCUUGUGUUCUAUCAUCGAGCAGCCACCAUGGUUGAUACACUCUUGGUGCGUGGUUGUCAAACUGUGCUCAUGUCGGUCACAAGCUGGCUGGGUACAGGAUGGCAGGUUGCGUCUGGGUUUCUAAUCCAGGCGCAUAUAACGGUUCGCCGGCCGAUGACCAUGCUAUCAUUACUAUUGAGAGU